UACGUAGGGGGCAAGCGUUGUCCGGAUUUAUUGGGCGUAAAGAGCGUGUAGGCGGUUAGGUAGGUCCGUUGUGAAAACUCGAGGCUCAACCUCGAGACGCCGAUGGAAACCAUCUGACUAGAGUCCGGAAGAGGAGAGUGGAAUUCCUGGUGUAGCGGUGAAAUGCGUAGAUAUCGAGAGGAACACCUGCGGCGAAGGCGGGUUGCUGGGCUGACACUGACGCUGAUGCGCGAAAGCCAGGGGAGCGAACGGG
rnacentral:rRNA from 1 species